rnacentral:rRNA from 1 species
GAGACUCUGUGCGCGUGCAUAUCAAUAAGCGGAGGAAAAGAAACUAACAAGGAUUCCCCUAGUAACGGCGAGUGAAGCGGGAAGAGCUCAAAUUUGAAAUCUUAAAGGGUUUCCCUUUACGAAUUGUAGUUUAAAGAAGUGUUUUCUGUUGGAGUUUCGGUAAAAGUUCUUUGGAAUAGGACAUCAUAGAGGGUGAGAAUCCCGUAUUUGACCGUUACUUUCCAGCUGUGUGAUACACUUUCAAAGAGUCGGAUUGUUUGGGAAUGCAGUCCAAAAUGGGUGGUAAAUUUCAUCUAAAGCUAAAUAUUGGCGAGAGACCGAUAGCGAACAAGUACCGUGAGGGAAAGAUGAAAAGAACUUUGAAAAGAGAGUUAAACAGUACGUGAAAUUGUCAAAAGGGAAGCGUUUGACACCAGUGUUGUUUAGUUGAAAAUCAAUUCAAUAAUUUUUGAUUUUAAGUAGUAUUGACUUCAUCAGCUUGCUGCUUUCUUUUCAGGAAUUAUUGAAUGCACUUUUCAGUUAACAAGUCAACAUCAAUUUCUUUUGUUGUAAAAGGGUAAGAGGAAGGUGGCUUACGCUUCGGCGUAAGUGUUUAUAGCCUUUUACCUCUGCAGUCGGAGAGAUUGAGGACAGCAGCGUAGACUCUUCGGGGUUAGAUACACUUGUGCUAAGCUAUAGCCUUGUAUAGACAACUUGUUGACUAUGCUCAGUCAUGUAGCUUACUCGCUUGAUGCUAUUUUACCUACGCUUAGGAUGUUGAACUCUAUCACACACAG